rnacentral:lncRNA from 13 species
AUGUCCAGGGGAAGUCAUAGGAGGCCGGAGUGCAAUGGCACAAUCUCGGCUCACUGCAACCUCCGCUUCUCGAAUUCAAGCGAUUCUCCUGCCUCAGCCUCCCGAGAAGAUAGAUUCUUCAUCCAGUCAAGGAGCUCAGGAGUCCUGAAGGGAGAAGAAUCUUCCAACAGGCUUCAGAAGUCAAGGAAUGGAUCAUGAAAUCAUUCGAUAGGCAUCAACAGAUCCUUACCAAGAGCAGCUUGGGACAGUGGGCAGUGCCUCAAGUCUGUAAUCCAAGCACUUUGGGAGGCUGAGGUGGGAGGAUCGCUUGAGCCUGGGAGUUCGAGACCAGCCUGGGCAACAUCAAUCAAAAAAUCAAAAUGCUGGGUUGUGGUAGCAUAUGCCUGUGAUCCCAGCUACUUGGGAAGCUGAGGUGGGAGGGUGCUUGAGCCUGGGAGGUCAAGGG